AUUGAACGCUGGCGGCAGGCCUAACACAUGCAAGUCGAACGAGUGGCGGACGGGUGAGUAAUGUAUGGGGAACUGCCUGAUGGAGGGGGAUAACUACUGGAACCGGUAGCUAAUACCGCAUACCAUCCGAUGUCCCCAGAUGGGAUUAGCUCGUAGGUGAGGUAACGGCUCACCUAGGCGACGAUCCCUAGCUGGUCUGAGAGGAUGACCAGCCACACUGGAACUGAUACACGGUCCAGACUCCUACGGGAGGCAGCAGUGGGGAAUAUUGCACAAUGGGCGCAAGCCUGAUGCAGCCAUGCCGCGUGUAUGAAGAAGGCCUUCGGGUUGUAAAGUACUUUCAGUGAGGAGGCGUUACCCGCAGAAGAAGCACCGGCUAACUCCGUGCCAGCAGCCGCGGUAAUAC
rnacentral:rRNA from 1 species